rnacentral:tRNA from 1 species
UACGCGUUAGCCAAAUGGUAAGGCAUUGUGUUUCGGCCACAAAGAUUUACAGGUUCAAGUCUUGUACGCGUUC